AUCAGAUCUCGUUCCGACUAAGCUAAGGUAUACCAGUUGUAGUGAGAAUAGCAUGUCGGCAUCCUCAGCCACGGGGGUGCGGUGGUGCUCCUCGCCGGUGUAGCAACGCACCUCUUCCGUACAGGCAGUUACCUCUGGCUUACGAGCCUGCGAGGUACUGCUCGUGCACUCCGGCCGCCAAGGCGCCACUCUGGAUCUCUUGGAGUGAUCUUAACCCUGGCAGACGGUACCUAGCUUGCGCCAAAGGGAGGGGUGCUGGGUGCGGUUUCUUCGAGUGGGCCGACCCGGAGCCUAACGCCUUCAUGAACCAGCUGCUACUGGAUCUCCGCAACGCAGUGUGGGCUCUGGAGGCACAGAAUCGUCUCUUGAAUCGGAGCGUGCAUGGGGCGAGGACGCAAGUGCUCGAAGGAAUGGUAGUCCAGGAGGCGACGAGCGCUCAGGUGCAACAGAGGGGUGGAGAAAAUAUGAUGAUUCAUAGCCAAGAUUCUGAGAUGCUUCGCAAAGCUGUGGCAGAUCUCGAAGCUCAGAGGAAGUUCAUGGUGGGGUGCGCUCUGUCAUUAGUGAUGCUCUUUGCAUUCGGGCUUGUGAUUCCACGCUAGAUCAGUUCAUGUGGAGUUCUGAUACUUUUGCUUAGACUCUGCUAAUUUCGGGAUGAUCUGUUGUGUGGUUUGUUCGGAUGUAAUUGACUUAAUAUUGGUGUUACCAGGUUUUCGCCCCAUGGCAUCCGUCACGAUGUCGGGCGGAUGUGGUGGGUUUCCUGGUAAUGCUUGAACUCGCUCUACCCUCUUUCCCUCCUCCUGUCAUCUGAACUGGUUGUAUUUCCGUUCUUAGUAAUGGAAAGGGGUAAAGCCCGGUUUAAAAAAAAAGUGGAGUGGCAUCUAUUAUUCAUGUAACGUACUUUGUUUCUGACGUUGCCAAGUGCUCUAUGUAUGAAACCUAAAUUCGUGUGGUAGAUGGAAUCAAUAUUAUGUAUUGUA